AGCCUGAACGCUGGCGGCGUGGCUAAGACAUGCAAGUCGCACGGGACCCGCAAGGGUUCAGUGGCGCACGGGUGAGUAAUGUAUCGCUAAUGUACCCCGGAGACAGGGAUAGCCAUCCGAAAGGGUGGGUAAUACCUGAUGAUAUAAUCCCGACGCAUGUCGGGAUUCUCAAUCACAGCAAUGUGCUCUGGGAGCAGGCGAUAUCGUAUCAGCUAGUUGGUGAGGUAACGGCUCACCAAGGCGACGACGCGUAGCUGGUCUGAGAGGACGACCAGCCACAUCGGGACUGAGACACUGCCCGGACUCCUACGGGGGGCUGCAGUACGAAUCUUCCGCAAUGCACGAAAGUGUGAGGAGCGACGCCGCGUGUAGGACGAAGUCCUUCGGGAUGUAAACUACGUGUCGAAGGGAAAGAAAGUUCUAGAUACCUAACCCGAAAGGAAGAGGACGGCUAACUCUGU
rnacentral:rRNA from 1 species